rnacentral:rRNA from 1 species
GAACUAACACACGUAAGACAAAUCAUUUUUCCCCCUCAGUAUAGGCGAUAGAAAAGGAAUUUUGGGAGCUAUAGAAAAAGUACCGCAAGGGAAUGCUGAAAGAGAAAUGAAAAAGCCCAGUGAAGUUUAAGAAAGCAAAGAUUAACCCUUGUACCUUUUGCAUCAUGAUUUAGCCAGUGUAACUCAAGCAAAGAGCACUUUAGUUUGAUAACCCGAAACUAAGUGAGCUACUCCAAGACAGCCAAAUUAUAGGGCCAACCCGUCUCUGUGGCAAAAGAGUGGGAAGAGCUUCGAGUAGAGGUGAUAAACCUACCGAACUUAGUAAUAGCUGGUUGCCUAAGAAUUGAAUAGGAGUUCAGCCUCCAGGCUUCUUUUUUCCCUUAAGUAAGACUUUUUACGAUAAUAAGAAAACCUGGAGAGUUAGUCAAAGGGGGUACAGCUCCUUUGACCAAAGACACAACUUUUUUAGGAGGAUAAAGAUCAUAUUAAUUAAAGGCAUGAGAUCGACGUGGGCUUAAAAGCAGCCACCAUAGCAGAAAGCGUUAAAGCUUGGACAUCCUAUUAAACGCCUCCCCAAUAAUGAUCACUAAAUCUUACUCCCCUAAUUUUAUUAGGCCAUCCUAUGCACACAUAGGAGCGACUAUGCUAAUAUGAGUAAUAAGAGAGCCCACACCUCUCUCCCUGCACGAGUGUAAAUCAGUACGGAUAGCCCGCUGAGUAUUAACGGCCCCACACCAAGAGGGUAGUAAGUAAGACAUCAACAUACCAGAAAACCACUUAAUAUACCUACCGUUAACCCCACACAGGAGUGCUUCCAGGGAUAGACUAAAAGAAAGAGAAGGAACUCGGCAAACACUAAGCCUCGCCUGUUUACCAAAAACAUCGCCUCUUGUCCCCCUUGAAAAUAAGAGGUCCCGCCUGCCCUGUGACUGUAAGUUUAACGGCCGCGGUAUUUUGACCGUGCGAAGGUAGCGUAAUCACUUGUCUCUUAAAUGGAGACCUGUAUGAAUGGCAUUACGAGGGCUUGACUGUCUCCUUUUUCAGGUCAGUGAACUUGAUCUUCCCGUGCAGAAGCGGGAAUAUAAACAUAAGACGAGAAGACCCUAUGGAGCUUUAGACACAAGAGCAGAGCACGUCAAACGCCCCUAAGCAAGGGCCAAAACCUAAUGCACCCCCUGCCCUAAUGUCUUUGGUUGGGGCGACCGCGGCGAAAAAUUUAACCUCCGCGUGGACCGGGAGCACUUUCUUAUUUUCUCCUACACCCAAGAGCCACAGCUCUAAGUAACAGAACUUUUGACCUUUCAUGAUCCGGCAAAGCCGAUCAACGAACCGAGUUACCCUAGGGAUAACAGCGCAAUCCUCUUCUAGAGCCCAUAUCGACAAGAGGGUUUACGACCUCGAUGUUGGAUCAGGACAUCCUAAUGGUGCAGCCGCUAUUAAGGGUUCGUUUGUUCAACG